rnacentral:lncRNA from 1 species
GAAAGGCUUAUAUUUUCAAGUGAAUGGCUGAUCUACUGACAGUGGUUACAAGGACAAACCAGCCCAAUGUUCAGCUAACUGAUGGGUCAGAGCAGGCCAGUACUUCUUUGGAGGUGGCUGAGUCAAAGCCCCUUGUUAUUCAAGCAGAUGUCAUGCAGAGGGAGCUAGAGAGCUGCCUAAGGAGAGAGUACACUCCUGAAAAUUUACCUUUGCUUCUGUUGCAGUAUUAUACAGAGAGAAUUACCCAGCUGGCCCAGAGUAAAUAUUUGCAUAUGCUUAGGUGGAAGAGAUUUUGCCAUCACAGUAAGAUCAUGGAACAACUCUAUCCUCUUUAUAAGAAACAAGUUGCCUACAUUAUUCAGGAAUACAAUGAUGCCCUUCAUAGAGCUGAUAGAUUGUCUGUUGCACGAGAAAACUUCCUUAUGGGAAAAAAGAAUCCUCCUAACUUAGUGACACAGGAAGACCUGACUAUUUACACAAAUUGGUUAGUGUGUCACCUACACUCACUCAAGACUAUUCACCAAUACCUGCAGGCCCUCCAGUAUUUGCCUCUCUCCAAAGUGCUAAGUAUAGCUGUGGAUGAAAUCCCAGAGGUUGGUCAGGAAAAUGAAAAGGUCCCUGUUGAUGACAAUGACCCUGACAUCCAGGGUUCUGAAUCUCCAGGCUCUAUGAAUACCAAUAUUUCAGGGCCAACAAGAACAGAAGCUGCUUUCAUCCUGCCCCAACACACAACAGAAACAGAAAAACUGAAACCUCAGCUGAAGCUCCUGCUCUCCCAUUUUAAUAUCCCAUAUGACGUGGAGGAACUAAGGGAUGCUGCCAAGGAAAUAGAACUUUUUUCCUUGGUGUCCCAAAAAUUUCAAAGCAUCUUCAUGAAGCAGCAGAGAAUGAAGACAUUUCCAGACUAUGAUGCUGGGAUAGCCAAAGCUGAGCAUUUGAGUUUGGCAGAACCUGGUAUGGCCUUGAAAAAGAGAGCCAGCUGGAUUUCCUUUGUAAAGAUUUCCAACCCUGAGCGAGUAAUGCAAGUGCUGCAAGAUCAUGCUGCAAAGACAGUCUUCAUGGCUUCAUCUCAUCCAACAUUCGUGGCUUCCUGGGAUUUGCAUCAGGGCAACUAUGACCAAAUCUGGGAGAAUAUUUAUAGCAAUGUCAACCUUUACCAGAAUGAAAACAUGAAGGAGGAUGGCCUUUCAGUGGAGCAAAAUGAAAAUGACUCAGCACAAAUAAGUCGUAGCCAUUGUGCUGAUGAGCCUGUCAAGCAGAAGAAAGAGCCGGGGUACAGCUAUGCACUGGCCCUACAACUCCUGGGUUUGGAUGAUGGGUCUGGGCCCAGUGAUGGGGAUUCUGUCCUGAUGAGAGGGACCUACUUGUCCUUUCUGUAUCUGCGCCACCUGAGGAUCAGGGAACUGCAGGUAUGCAGAUGGCCCUGCAUGCACCUGAAUUGUUUGGUUGUCUGUAAAAGAGGUUUUCCUGCCACUAGAGUAGUAAUGUAUUUUUACACUUUGUUCUUUGAUU